CUCCCCGAGGACGAUUUUGGUACACCUGUUCGGGUGGUUCGGCUGGUUCGGGUCGCCACAACGGAGUAGAAGAGCGAAUAAUGAAAGAGACAGUUUUUCUGUUAAGAGCCAAGUAGGGGAAGCCGCCGGCUGACGCUGCCGGUGUCGCUGCGGUACGCACGGGGGCGUAGAGGAAGGCGGAGUGGCCGUGGACUGGGGACGGAAGACGCCUCGAUGCGGCAGCUGAGGAACGUCUCCACGCUGAGCAGCGACCUUUGGAGCAGGGGUAUGGUCUCCUCUCCGUGGUCCUGCACGCGCGCUCGGGUGCCAGGUCUAACUACCUGCUCCCUCGCCACCCACGACGCGCGGGUGAGCGGGUCGGGCAGCCGGGACCCUCCGCCACGCCGACGGUAGAAGGAGGACGGAGGGACGAACGAGGUUCUUGGGAGUCUCCUUCCCCUCUUUUCCACCUUUAUUAGUUCUAGUACCUAUAAAAAUCUGCACCAUACAGACACCACAGGUUCAGAGUUUAGAGUCAACCGACAAAAUAACACUAAAAAACCUUAUAAAAGAUGUGAGAUAAAAGAUAGAUUAGUUUCUCUGUAUGAGACACAUGUCUAUAACAAUUCACCCAAUAGGAACUCCGGUGUUUUUUCCCUACCGGCGUAUUUAAGUCAAAACACCGACGACGUAUCGUGUGAAAAAAAAAAAACUCUUUGUAUCGUGUGAAAAAAAAACUCCGGUGUUUUUUCCCUACCGGCGUAUUUAAACUACACACCUGUCAAUCACCUCAGGGGACCGCCGCUGUGAACGUAAGACUGAAUGCCUAUGGUGCUUCUUGAACCGUUCUACCCUAAACUACUCUCUUUAGUGGCUCACGAAGUAGGCCCUGACGAUCCCCAAGUUACCUUUGUUGGAGCCCUUAGUACCAAGCAACGACCCUACGAUAACGACCGAAGACAACCUCCUUAGAAGAAGCGCGGGAAGAACUCGUUAUACUUUUCUCUAACGAAGAGGUGAACUACGGGAGUCACACCAUCCGUCGCAACCAAAGAAACCAGCCAAACCCAGAAGAUUCAGCCGACACAUUAUAAAAGGUGUAACCACAAGGUAACACUGUGACUUCACGCAUGUUUUAAUCAGGGUACAUAAAGUACGUCGAUCCAAAAUACUUUAUGAGGGAGGCAGAUUGUAAAACCCUGCCUCCCUCAUGAUACUUUCAUACGGGUCUAAGUAUUACGCUACGUGUUGGAGGUACAAAAUACAUUACUUUAUAGGUACAUCGUACCAUUUGAGGGUGUCACGACGAAGUAUCGGUCAAUCGAUGGUUUCUAGGACAUUUGUCAGUCGUAGUGGAUCAGCUUUCCGACCGGGGAGCGGGGUACUCUCCUAAUUAAGGACCGGUACAUUUUAACACCACGUACGAAGUAGGUUCGUUCGUCAUAGGACGUGGUGUCGUUAUCUCUAUUCCACGAAGUAGGUUCGUUCGUCAUAGGACGUGGUGUUGUUAUCUCUAUUCCCAAUACCGAUAAAUAUAAAAGAUUGUCAGAAAUCAGGGGAUAAGGAAAGAAACGAACGUCAAACCCGAACCAGAUUAGUAGUACAUGUAUUAGAUCUGAAGAUCUAGCCGUCUGACCGCAAGAGAUCCUGUCUAACCACCAUUUUUUUCUCAACGGCCCUCGAGUAAAAUCGUUUGACCUCGCUCACGUCGAUACCAAUUACUAUGACUAUGGACGUACUACAACUUCUUACUCCGGGUAGAGCUACGUUCCCCUCAUAUGGCAAUACGUUCUUUGAACACCCCCACGGUACAAUAGGCGUAGCUGUGUGAACAUAAUGAGUUACGUAACCAGAUGGAUAAGGAACCGUGAAAACCCAGGGUUGCGGCGGCGAGGUCUUUGACCAAGUAGGUUUUUCCAUGGAACCAGCGUUUGUGAAACAGGAAGUAUGACCCUUGUAUGUGCGAGCCAAGAUACGUUAGAAGGUUCCACUUCUUAUCGUACAUGAUGAUGGAGGCAGAUCCACUUAUUCAGUAAGUGCAUCAAGAUCCAGUAACUAAACUCUUUAAUUUAUACACAAUAUACAGUACUUUUCAUAUAGUGAUCUAAAGAUGUGUCUACAUCAAAGAUUUAUAUAUGAAAAAUAGUGUAUAUUAUGUAUAAAUCUAUCAAUUUAACAGCUGGAUCUUGAUGCGCUUACUGAAUGAGUGGCUCUGUCUCCAUCAUGGGGCAAACCCGGAGUUAAGAGAAGUAGGAAGUACCUACAUGGUUGUGUCGAAUAUCCUCAGUUAACGUUUUUUGGUGGUGUAAACGCCGAUCCAAACGUCCUUUGGUGGUUGAGCAAUUAAGUAACGUCUUUUAUGGCCUUUUAGACAAUUCAGCAACGUUUUUCGUGACUAGCCUACUAAACCGGACAAAUUAGUAACUGUAUCUGUUCUAUACCAACACGUUACUGUCAAGUGACCUGGUUCUAGAUUUCCUAUGCACGGAAAGGAAGAGAGAAAAAGUAGACAACUCCUCCGCGAUGAAACCCAAAUGGACACCACUUAGGUUUCUUUCCCGUGUACUAAAGCAGAAGUUCCCCGACGAUGCCCUCUUACUUCUUCCGUGGUGUUUGACGUUGGCCCGAAAAUCCAACUAACUCUAACUCAAUCGGAAAUACAUACUAAAGAAGAAGUGGUGUAGACGACGGUAAAUAAUACGUAGUUGCCGGCGUUGUCAAAGUGGGAACUAAAGAAGGAAAAAUGAUACAGACAGUUAUGUUACCUAUAAGCAGACCCUUGGUAGCGAGUAUGUUCUUCCACUUUACUUCUAGUGAUUAUGUCAAUGGUGGAAUAAGUAUGAACGUAGACGACGAAACGAACUUAACGAAGCUGACGACGAAAUGACCUGACCGUAAACCUCGUCCCACAGGAAACAGACAGUCAUAGAGUCUCUUGUUUGUUCUAACUCGUGUUCCCCUUCGACGACGAGGACGAGGAAGAGAACGACGACGACGACGUACGACGAUUUUAACUUUCCCGAAGAACGAUCUUAACCACACGUAACGAGUGGUUUGUUUGUGAUAACCGUCGUGUUCGAACCCGUCAUAAGAAAUGAACUAAUGGCAGGAUGGAAGACACCGUUCUAGUUCCUUACAAACCCAUUUCAUUGUCUUCAUGUACGUCGGUGUAUACAUAACGGAAAGGAGGUAGGUUAACUGUUUGUGUGCGCCUCCCAGGCAGUUUUUAAACCCUUUAGAUAUCUCAAUUGGCGUGUUCAUGUAUUCCGUUAAUAAAUGAGGGAGUUUGCUAGGUUACCACUUGACUGCUUACCUUUUAGUAGUGAUCACAGGUUGUCUCGUCCCGUGGAAAAUACCCGAACACUUGCCCCGCACGUGAGUCUUAGCCUGUGUUCGACGUAGUAAGACUGAACGUGUAACGUUGUACCAUGACGCUCUCUCCCUGCGAACCUACACCGGGAGCGGGCCUACUCCCUUGGCUCGAGUUCUAGGUAGAACCACAACGGUGUUUCGACAGCUUUAUGACGCGUAUGGAAGACCAGAGGCGUGGUUUUGAAGAAGGUCCCGUGCUUAUACUAUGUUCAGCACACAAGCUACGUCACCGUCCCCUCCGGUUCUCUAAAGACGGUAUACCCUCCCUAUUUAUAGUUCGUGACUUCCUAAUACCUCUCCUUCUCAGUCUCCGAUGGUAGAACGUCUCACCGCGAUUCGACCCGUUCGUCGAACGCCUCUAUCUUCUACAAUGGUCCGCAACCUUCCACGAUCGACUAAAGACCAGACUCUACGACGAGAUGUAACGCGGUAGUCUAU
rnacentral:rRNA from 1 species